GAAGAGAUUGUGGCUGGCUCCAAAAAGUGAGAGUCGAGAUAGCAAAACCAUCGUUAUCUAAGUAACAAAACACUCCAAAGAUAUUAAAAGUUCUAGACCAACAAAAGAAACUUAAAAUAAUAAAUAGCAGAACAGCAAUAAAAUCCUUGGAUGAAGACACCAACUCAAGUUGUUUCAUAAUUUUCAUCUUUCACUCGUCAUCCUCAUCAUCAUCGU
rnacentral:misc_RNA from 1 species